UAUUUCUUUUAAUUGAAGCGCUGCUAAUUAUAACAUAAGGAUGUUAUAAUUAAUGAGUAAUGACGAGAGAUAAUAAUUGUUAUAUUGAUUAACAAUCAAGAGAGAUGAACAUUAGAGAUACUAAUGUUUCAUAAAAGAGAUUAGAUUAUUAAUCGAGGUUUCUUUUAUAACUUCUCACCAAUUCUUCAUAACGAUGAAGGUCUUUUUGGGAAGUAACGACUUGAGGGAGAGAGUGACGUUACUCAUUGAUACAGAGACACAACGAGGUUGAGCUGAUGUGAUGAUGGUGCUGCAAUGAGCGGAGUCUCCAGGGUUGUUAAUAAAUAGUUAACCUGUCUAGAAUAUGUCUUCAUACAUAUGUCUAGCUACUUUCCGCUGCAAGAUGUUGUUGAUGUUAUAGUAUGUUAUGUCAUACUUUGAGUCUUAAGAGAAUGGUUGCAUAUGAUGUAUAACUUGAUUAAUGAUAUUAAUUAACUUUUAUGCAGUCUUUCAUAGACUGUUUUCAAUUGAGAGUUAAUGAAUAAAAAUGACGAGUUUUAUUAA